CCGGGGUAAUACGGAGGAUCCAAGCGUUAUCCGGAUUUAUUGGGUUUAAAGGGUGCGUAGGGGGCUUUUUAAGUCAGGGGUGAAAGACGGUGGCUCACCCAUCGCAGUGCCCUUGAUACUGAAGAGCUUGAAUGAAUUAGAGGUAGGCGGAAUGUGACAAGUAGCGGUGAAAUGCAUAGAUAUGUCACAGAACACCGAUUGCGAAGGCAGCUUACUAUGAUUUUAUUGACGCUGAGGCACGAAAGCGUGGGGAUCAAACAGGAUUAGAUACCCUGGUAGUCCACGCCCUAAACGAUGAAUACUCGCUGUUAGCGAUACACAGUUAGCGGCUAAGCAAAAAGCGGUUAAGUAUCCC
rnacentral:rRNA from 1 species